rnacentral:piRNA from 1 species
GACCCUCUGACUGAACAGGCGUCUGUGACC